UGGGGAAUAUUGCACAAUGGGCGCAAGCCUGAUGCAGCCAUGCCGCGUGUAUGAAGAAGGCCUUCGGGUUGUAAAGUACUUUCAGUCGUGAGGAAGGUGUUAAGGUUAAUAACCUUAGCAAUUGACGUUAGCGACAGAAGAAGCACCGGCUAACUCCGUGCCAGCAGCCGCGGUAAUACGGGGGGUGCGAGCGUUAAUCGGAACUACUGGGCGUAAAGGGCACGCAGGCGGUUAAUUAAGUUGGAUGUGAAAUCCCCGGGCUUAACCUGGGAAUGGCAUUCAAGACUGGUUAGCUAGAGUCUUGUAGAGGGGGGUAGAAUUCCAUGUGUAGCGGUGAAAUGCGUAGAGAUGUGGAGGAAUACCGGUGGCGAAGGCGGCCCCCUGGACAAAGACUGACGCUCAUGUGCGAAAGCGUGGGGAGCAAACAGG
rnacentral:rRNA from 1 species